CGAAACUAAAUCGGUGGGGUGGGGGAGGUGAUGAAAAAACCAGCGAAAAAACCGUGUAGACUAUUCACCAACUGCUUCAUUAGGAGUAGAGAAUCAGUCGUCUGUUUUCAUAUUGGCUCCAGGUCGAAUUUUCAAUCAUUGGAUUUAGUUCUGAGAUCUACGCUGGUGCGGUGACCUUUUCGGGCCCGCUUUGGAUUAGUGGGUCUCAGUCGAUCGUUUCGGGUUAUUUUCGCGCCCGCUUUUUUUUUCCAGGGUCGCAUGGAGGAUCUGGUCCUUCUUCGUCAUCCAUGGCGACGACGGCGAGCUCGACGCGGCGGCGGCGCGGUCCUAGCGACGGCGGCGGCGAGGUCCUGGCGACGGCGGCGCAGGUUGAUUGGAAUUCAGUUUUGCAAGUCUCUGCAGCGGUCAAUGAAAAAGAAGUAACAGGGAUGGUAUGCCCAAUCUGCAAGUCCGACUGAGCUAGCCAUCACUCAUCGGGUUUAAAUUUUGGUGUUUGAUUGUCUUGAGACAUUGAAAGCUCAGUGGUAACUUAGUUUUGAAUAUGCUUAAUUUAUCAGUAUAGUCUAGUUCCCUGUCAUGGUCAGUUAUUAAUUUAUCACUACAGUCUACUUCUCUGUUAUGGUCAAUUUUUCAUUCAUCACUCAUUUAUAGGAGGCUAUGAUGUGGAAAUUACCACACCUCCCUGUAUGUUUUAUGAUAGCAUGAUAGUUGUCCUGUUCAGUUAAACAUUUCAUUUCUUCUUUAGUUUGUGUAUGAUUUCAUUUUUUUCUUUUCAGAUAUAAACUUAGUCCUUUUAGCUGAUAGAAUUAUAGCAACUUUAGCUUUUUCUUAGAUUUCUUUUUUUCUAAUUUUCGGUCAUUACUUUUUGUUGCAUUCAUUUUCUUUUUUAGUCUAUCAAUUUUUAGAGUUUAGCUAUUUGUCAGUCUCAUCUGCAAGCGUCUCAUGCCCCAACAAGCAUGAGGAUAGCCUAUCUUUUGUUCUUCCUUUCCAUUUUUUUUGCUUUUUUCUGCAGUUUAUCCCAUGUCACUCAAUGGUCGAAUUCAAUUGCGCCACUGGCGACCGCAUGCUUUUUGAGGAAUGUGAGGGGUGCAAAUUCAUCACUGAGAUCAGGAAAGAACACAGGAGGACCUGCAUCUGUGGCGUUGGGUGGGAGGACUUCAUCAGGUUGAACAAUCUCAGUGAGGGAGUUUUGCUCCGUUUUGUACUCGACAGACCAGUGCCAAAGUUGCAGAUUUGCAUGGUUGCGCCACCUCCCAACCAGGCUGAUCUAGCGCUUGAGGCUGCUGUGUUCACGGAAGACCUCAAGAAGAAGGCAAGAGAGAGUGCAAAGCUGAAUGAAACUCUACUGUAUUCAAUCCUUAGUUUUCUGGUCUCCAGUAUAUUCUUGUUGUGGUCAGUUUUGAACUAGAGAAGAAAUUUAAAGGGACAUAUAGCUAAGCGAGACUCUGGUUUGCAUCCAGCACCAUGUUUACUUGGCUCCUAUUUUUUGUUACUUUUUUAAGCUAUAAUGUCACUCCCAUUUAGUCCA